rnacentral:rRNA from 1 species
GCAGUCGCCGCGGUAAUACGAAGGGGGCUAGCGUUGUUCGGAAUUACUGGGCGUAAAGCGCACGUAGGCGGAUCGAUCAGUCAGGGGUGAAAUCCCAGGGCUCAACCCUGGAACUGCCUUUGAUACUGUCGAUCUGGAGUAUGGAAGAGGUGAGUGGAAUUCCGAGUGUAGAGGUGAAAUUCGUAGAUAUUCGGAGGAACACCAGUGGCGAAGGCGGCUCACUGGUCCAUUACUGACGCUGAGGUGCGAAAGCGUGGGGAGCAAACAGGAUUAGAUACCCCAGUAGUCCCUGUCUCUUAUAC